CCCUUAGAUGUUCUGGGCCGCACGCGCGCUACACUGACGAAUGCAACGAGCUUAUAACCUUGGCCGAAAGGUCUGGGUAAUCUCCAAAUUUCGUCGUGAUGGGGAUAGAUUAUUGCAAUUAUUAAUCUUCAACGAGGAAUGCCUAGUAAGCGCAAGUCAUCAGCUUGCGUUGAUUACGUCCCUGCCCUUUGUACACACCGCCCGUCGCUCCUACCGAUUGAAUGGUCCGGUGAAGCGUUCGGACCGUGGCCUUUGGACGGUUCGCCGUCUGUGGGCUGCGGGAAGUUCGUUAAACCUUAUCAUUUAGAGGAAGGAGAAGUCGUAACA
rnacentral:rRNA from 1 species